AAAUUAAACAGAAUUAUUUUCAACCAAAUUGAUAUUUGGACUCUCUCUUUUCCAACAAGUCUAAGGCUAGAGCUCCCUUUUAAUGAGCUCAGUAUUCAGCAACAAUAGGUUGAUAAAAGAAUCGAGGUAAAGCAAAAACUUCAACUUUUAAAUCAUAUUUCACUAUUAAUAGGCCCGCAACUAAAUCCUGAGUAAGAUAUCAUAACAAAUUGAUAUCAGAGC
rnacentral:misc_RNA from 1 species